CCGACCUUAGCUCAGUUGGUAGAGCGGAGGACUGUAGUUUGGAAACAGUAAAUCCUUAGGUCGCUGGUUCGAAUCCGGCAGGUCGGA
rnacentral:tRNA from 2 species